UUAUCUUUUGUCACCCUUUUGUUUUCUUAAUAUUUUUUUAUUGAAAUUUAAUUCCUUGUGCUUCUCAGUAUUUGGAUUUUGCUGUUAAUCUUUGUGAACAGGCAUCAUCUUUGUGUUUCUUAAACUACCAAAUUCAACAAAUGCUAAAUUUUGGUGAUACAACAGUGAAACUAAAGGGUCUGUUUGACAGUAGAGGAGUUGCCCAUUUCAUGCUAGCUUUUCUGAUAUUUUGUGCCUAUCAUUUUGUUUGCAACAAUACUAUUGGUCCGAUCAGGAUUCGUAUUGUGCUUGUCUGGACAAAAAAAAAAGACUUUGUGUUGAGGAAAAUCGUGGCACUCGCUUUGCUUUUUCAAAUUAUUAAUACAUUCUAUUUCAUAGCCUGGUGGAGGUCAAGGAGAUCGUGUUUUGUUGUUAUUAGUAUUAUUUUUGUGUUUCCCUUUCCUUGCAUUCUGCAAAAAGUAAAUCGAGCAAAGGGGUAGAUUUGUGUUUUAACCAUAUGACCUUGUUGAUGGUCAAUUUGGUACAUGUGAGGUCAGUUCAUACUUUACCCUCUUGGCAUAUUUGCAUAUUUGAAGAGGUUAUAGUAUUAGAUGCCUUUAAAGUGAGAUCUCCUAUAUGUAGGAUGGUAAUGAUAUAAUGAUCCUUGGUUCAGGUUUUUA